CCACUGUCACGGAGGAAUCCCACCCUAAUGAUCACCCACCAGCAUCGGAUGAGAAACCCAAUAAAUGGGGCACCCACAUCAUGGGACCAGCAGCAGCUCCUAACGUCCACCCUGACAACCAACAGGCUGCCUUAUGGAAUGCCAGUGAGCACCAGCAAAUCCCCGAGCACCCAUACCUGGUUUAUACUCCCAUUGACAAAUCAGAAAAGUCAACCCAGAAAUCUUUUGAACCUGUGAUCCAUAAGUUUCAGGAAUGGGGCAAGAAGGCAGAGACCGUAGCCCGUAACAUGUGGCACAAUCGUAAGUUGAUGUUCACAAACCAUGAAAUAUUAAAUUUAGCUAAUUGAUCAUCACUGUGACUGUGACCAUGAUAGAGUAGCGAUUUUCUGGCAUCAAAGCGGACAACAAAUUUAGUUCAAGUGUAUCUUCCAAUCUUAUUUCUGAUCUGUUUUAACACGCACCUGCACAUACACUUUAAUGCAGUUAGCACAGGGCCAUCUGUGCCACAAACUGCCUGGGGUAAGGUAAACCUGACGGCGAAAGCAAUAACAGAGGGUGGCUUUGAGUCUCUCUUCAAGCAUAUAUUUGAAACCGAUCCUAAUGAGAAGCUGAAGAAGACUUUUGCUUGUUACCUCUCAACAUCUACUGGCCCUGUUGCCGGGACGCUCUAUCUAUCAACUGCUCGAGUCGCGUUCUGCAGCGACCGUCCUCUGUGCCAUACUGCUCCUUCAGGGGAGGAGGCCUGGAGCUACUACAAGGUAAAUACAUCGCUAGACACCAAGUCGGAUAGAUUUUACCACAUUCAUAGCUAUUAUUAUAUAUAGUUAAGCUCUGUUAAAUUCCAAACAAAAGGUGAAGUUGAGAGAAAUCGUGCAUCUAUAAAAGGGUAGUUCACGGAGAUACAGCAAAACAAAACUAAAUAUAUUUGGCAAUCAAAGCUCAAACUAAAUUUUCUAUCUUGCUAUAGUCAUCCGUGUAUAUCAUGGUAGUACUUAAUGAAUUCAAUAAUAACUUAUUUUGAGCAGGUUAUGAUACCCUUGGACAAAAUAAGCACAGUCAGCUCGGAGAUCAUGCUGGAAAAUCCAUCAAGGAAGUACAUUCAAAUUGUCAGCACCGAUGGGCACGACUUCUGGUUUAUGGGUUUCGUUAAUUUCGAGAAAGCCUUGCAAAAUCUAUCAGAGAGCGUGUCGAGUUUCAAGGAAGCAGGAAUUGCAAUUCAACCAGUUGUUGCUUAGCCAAUGAUUGCAUUUGGAGUUGAAUCCUUCAAAAUUUUGAUUUUCACUGUUUCUAGUGGAUUUAUUGUUUGUUGCCUGAAGGGAGCUUUCCUUUAGUCUUCCUCUUGUCAUUCUUUUAUUCUUGUCGCACCCUACAUCGCGACAACCUUAAAAAUUUAUCAUGAAAUAAAAUGGAUUUCUGGUAUCCUGUUUUUUAAUGGGGAACGGUUUUGUUUAAGGAGUCGCCACCUAGUAUUAUGGUCACUAGAAACCCUAACUGGUCAACAGAGAUUCUAUGGUACGAGACUGGUUACGUAAAAGGAAAGAUACUAUCACCCCUUAAACGUCCUGCCUGAGGCAGGCUGCAUUGCUGGUUUUGUCAUAAAUUGCUAACAUUUUGUUGGUUUAUGUUAUGAUGGUUUGUGUGUAAUAUUCCUGACUCUGACGCUAGUGAAUAUUUAACUACAGAUAUUUCCAACUCUGGCGUUGGUAAAUAUUACGCGGCUAUAAAAACAAAAUAAAUCUAAAUCAGUAUUUUUUAUUCCUGACUCUGGCGUCAGUGAAUAAACAAAUCAAAUAAAUUUAUUUUUUACGCAUACACAUUUUUUUAUGUAACUAAAUAAAAGUAAAAUACAAUAAAAUAAAAUAAAUUUACAUCAAUAUCUUUAUUCCUGACUCUGGCGUCAGUGAAUAAACCAAUAAAUUUAUUUUAUUUUUGCAUUCAUAUUUUUUAUUUUUAUGUAAUUUAAAUAAAAUACAAUGAAAUAAAUUUGAAUCAAUAUUUUUAUUCUAACUCUAGCAUCAAUGAAAAAAAAAAUUCAUAUUUAUUUUUUUAUUUAUACAUACACACAUCUUUGUUUUUUUGUUUUGUUUUUUUGGACUGGGCUGGACCCAGCCAGCCCGGCCCGGGUCACUGGCCCAAGCCAGUGACCCGGCUGGGCAAAAUGUGGAGCACGCGUGAAGUGAUUUCACGCGUGCAUUCACUGUGCGAAGGUAGUACAGUGUUCUUUGAUCAUUUAAUUUCAAAGAACGCAAAGGGAUGAAGAGCUGGCGUACCUGCUUCUAGAGUGGCGAAGAUGGCUGCAACGCUGGUGGUGACUUUCGCCUGCUUGAUACCUUUACUUCUGCCUUCCCUUUUUGCUCCUGUUUCCACGGUCUGCUUUCGUUUUCCAGCAGAUUUUGAGAUAAUGAAGGAACCGAGAACGAAGGUGCCGGCUUCUGUGGAUACUGAUUUUUGGGUCGUUUUCUGCAGGGAUGAAAGCAAUGGCAGAACCCAUUAUCCUCUCCGUGUUGUUCCUCUGCUUUUCUUUUGUUUCAAUUCGUGCUCUGCCUUCCCCUGUUUUCUGGUUUUUUUCUCUGGGUUUUGCUCCAGUUCUCUCCUCUGGUUCUUUUUUUUCCCCCCUGGUUCUGUUUUUUUCGUCUAGGUUUAGCUUGAGUUUUUCCUCGGUUUCUCCUUCAAACCCCCCUGCUUUUCUUCCUCUGUUUUCUGGGUUUUUCUUCUCUGGUUUUUCGUUUCCCCCCCCCCCCCCCUCUCGCUCUGGGUUUUUCUUCCCCUUUUAUAGAGACCCAGCAGCUUGCCUCUAACCAGUCCUGCCUUUGCAGGACUGUUAUCUUCCACGAACGAGAUCGUGGGCAAGAGACGUGGUCCACGAUUGGAUCUGUUGCAGAUUUUCAGGUCUCCGGUUGAAUCGGGAUGAAGAAGAUCACACGACUGUUCCACCAGCAAUGGCGACGUUUCGGCUAAAAGACACAUUUUCAUUUUGACCCCUGCUUCUUUGGAAAUUCGGCAAUUGGAUCUCUAAGCAAUUAAAAAUUUAUUUUAAUUUUGCCCUUUUGGAUUAAUUUCAAUUAAAUACCUAAAUUAUAACACUGUUUACAAAACAGUCCUUAAUUCCCGGAUUGUUCAAUUUGGCCUUUAAUUAAAUCUUUAACUUUUAAUUCUUUCAAAAUUGAUCAAUUAACUCUCAAAUUUUAUAAUUACAUCCCCAAACUUCAAAUUUUGUGUUGUCUUAACCCCAUUGUCAACUAUAUUUAAUUUUUAUUAUUUUGUUCAAAAAUUGGGUUAAGACAGUUGCCUUCUCUUUAUAAUAUUUACAAUACAAAGACAUUGAAAAAUUUCAUUUUCUUGAGCUUUGUGUGGUAAAUUUAUAAAAAAAAAAUGUAGACAAAUUUUUUUUUGUUUUUGUUUUUUUAAGUCUUGAAAACUUCGAAAACAUAUGACUUUUACAGAGAGAACAGGUCAUUUGGAAGACAGCCCAUUUUUGAUUUUUUUGUUUUUUUUUUUGAAAUGAAUCAAAUUGUUUUGGGCAUCCAGCCCGAUGAUAAAAGAAACGCGAAGAAUUUCGCGAGUGGUCUAAUUGUUCCAGGCGACCUGCCCGAUAAAGAAUAAAACGCGAAAAUGGUUUCGCAAGUGGUCUAAUUGUUCCAGGCGACCUGCCCGAUGAUUGAAAAAUACGAGGAUUUUUCAUGAUGAUCACAUUGUAAUGGGUUACCUGCCCAGAUGGUUACAUUGUAAUGAGUUACCUGCCCAGUGAACAAAUACGAGGAUUUUUCAGGAUGGUACAUUGUAAUGGGUUACCAGCCCAGAUGGUCACAUUGUAAUGGGUUACCUGCCCAGUGAAAAAAUACGAUGAUUUUUUCAAAAGAAGACGUGAUAGGGCUCGAAGGCGCAUUGUUCAAUAGAUGGAAGCUCGAAGGUAAUGAGGGCUCGGAGGCGCGCUCAAAAGGAAAUGAGAGCUCGAGGGCGCACUCAAAAGGAGGUAGGGUUAGGAAAGGCAUUACCUUUAAUGGCCGAGGACUCGAAGGCGCACUCGAAAAGAAAUGAGGUGAGGGCUCAAAGGCGCACUCAAAAGGAGGUAGGAUAGGAAACACACUACCUUUGAUGGUCGAGGGCUCGAAGGCGCGCUCGAAAAGAAAUGAGGUGAGGGCUCGAAGGCGCCCUCAAAAGGAGGUAGGAUAGAAAAUGCACUACCUUUGAUGGUCGAGGGCUCGAAGGCACACUCGAAAGGAGGUAGGGUAGGAAACACACUACUUUUGAUGGUCGAGGGCUCGAAGGCGCACUCGAAAAGAAAUGAGGUGAGGGCUCGAAGGCGCACUCAAAAGGAGGUAGGAUAGGAAAUGCACUACCUUUGAUUGUCGAGGGCUCAAAGGCGCACUCGAAAGGAGGUAAGGUAGGAAACGCACUACCUUUGAUGGUCGAGGGCUCGAAGGCGCACUCGAAAAAAAAAAUGAGAUGAGAGCUCGAAGGCGCACUCAAAAGAAGGUAGGGUAAGAAACGCACUACCUUGGGAAUGGAAAAUGAAAGGUGGUGGAAAAAUACAGAGAUUUUUCAGGUGGCCUAAUUCUCAUUGGCGGCCUGCCCAGGUUGAAAAAUUCUCAAAAGUGAAAAAUUUUCAAAAGCAAUUUCAAUGUUCGCCAUUUCAAGUUGGCCUUCCACUUGAUGAAUUUCGUUAGAAUUUUCUCUUAUGAAAUUUGCAAAACUUAUUGUACAAUGUCUCAAAGUUUAAAUGAUAUGCAUGCAUCUUUACCUGAUUUGAAAUAUAGGCCCCCCAUUUCUUCGUAGUCUUCUUGUUGCUUGGUUGGUGAGAUCUUGUCAUCUUUAUCGUUUGGCUUUCUAGCCCACUCGAGUUAGCCCAUAUAAGUCUUUUUCCAGAUUUGUUUGCACAACUCAAGCUUUGUGGUGCCCAUCGUGACCCACUUGCUUGCUAAAGAUUUUCUGACUCGUCAAAUAAUUUGAGAGGAUCAUUCAUUACCCCUCGUCUCACUGCUAAAAACAUUCGGUGUCACUAGUUGAAAGGAUCAAUCUGUCUUUUAUAAACCAAAAUGCCCCCUUGUCUUGUUGAAGGAAAUUAACAUCUCCUUUUCUAGAAUUUUUCCUUCUAAACACAAUGUUGCCCCCUUGUAUUGGUCAUUGCCCCUAAGUGUGCUCUGUCAGCGACUUAGACAAAUAAUGGUUUUAAGAGGUCAUUCUUUCAUUUCUCUCCUUUUCAGUUUGGUGAAGGAAUAUGGGUCUAGAAUGAAUCUUGAAAUCUUGAUCUUGCAUUUUGAAAACAAAAAUUAUUUCGAUGUGAGUCUAAAACAAUUUGCUUUUGAAAUCUUGCAACUCCUUGGUUAUUUUCUUUCUUGGAAAAGAGAUUAUUUGCUCUUGUGUUUGGCAAUGAGGUCUUCGGUAAAAAUACGUCAUGAGAUGACCUUUUGUUUUUAUAGGUUUUCAAAGUGGAGGGCUCGAGAAAAAGCUCGAGGUUUUGUAUGAGAAAAACUUGUCUCUUUUUUAACACUCAUUUUUAUCAGCAUGAAUAAUAAUGAGUAGUUUGUUCUUGAUAUCAUGAGUUUUAUGAAAAGUAUUCUUUGCAUUUUGAGAGCAUUGUUUAUUGUUCUAGGUUGCUUGCUUGCUUGAUUAGAAAGGACUUCUACAGGCACGUAACGUAGGCUGUGGUUUUUGGCUAUGAAAAAAAUGAUUCAUAAGGCUCAAAGAGUGUUUCAGGGUUUCAAAGAUUGAGGAUCACUAUCAACAGUUUAAUUCUUGAUGUCAUUCAUAUUUUCUUUUGCCGCUCUUUUUUGAUUUGCUGCUUUUUAUUUUUUUUAUUGCUUUGCUAGGACAUACUCAAUUUAUCUUGGAUGUCACUUUUUGUAGUCAUUUGAGCAUGCCCCCUAGCAUUUGAGUUUCUUGAGCUCUUAUGCCUUUUUGGCUUUCUCACGGCCUUUUCUCUUUUCUCAAUGAAAUUUUCUCUUGCCCCCUAGUGUGGAGUGUGAUCCUAAUCGGGAUUUAUUUCAUGAAAUAAAAAUUAUUCAGGCUAAAAAAGAGAUCGCAAGGGAUGUACUUAUUUCAGAAUGUGAAAGGAAUAACAAAGAUGACAUUUCCUCAUUUCAAGCACAAGUAGUUAAGAUCAAUAAACUGUGACCUCAUCCAGUAUGAUGGUUUGGUCUUUGCAAAGAUGCAUUUCAUGAAUCAUGAGCAACGAGUUCACUACAUACCAUUAUUCAUACAUUUAAAAACUCAUGAUUCAAAAGUCAUAGGGUAAGGGUGUUUAUUCACUUCUUUUUUUUUCUUUUUUUUUGGUUUAUAAUUUAGUCACCUUAAUGACAGAGUUGCUUGAUUCACUUGUCAUUCUACAAGUAGAAUGUCAAAAUAUCAUUUUUGAAUAAACCUCAAAUUAUUUUUUGAAAUCAAAAUGCCAGAUCAAUUUUUCAAAACUCCAAUAGGGGAACUAAUUUUGGUAAAAGAGAUGAAUUGCGUCUAUGAGACUACACGAGGCUUUAAAAGUGUAUUCGUGAGUUCUUAUAAGAAAACUCUCUUAAGAAGAUGAAUAAUGUUUGGUCGUAAACACAAUUGAAUGACAAACUCAUUAUUUCAUUGAAACUUUAGAAAAGAAGUUCAAUAACAAAGAACUUAUGCCAACAUCUUGGGCUAUGAAAAUUGGCUUGGUAACACAUAAAGGGGCUAAACAUUUAGCAAUCAUUGAUUGGAAUUUCUGGAAUCUUUCAAUCAUUCAUUCUCCUCAACAAGGGCAUCUUUUCAACAAUCAAUUGAAGUCAUAUGUAGAUCAUUCUCGACCUAAUAUCACCAUAGCUUUCUCUUCAAGAUAGUUGAUUUCUGGGAGUCGGCGUGAAGAAAUUAGCUAUAAGAACCAUAAAAGUCUUGGCCACCCCCUUCAGUGAACCCGUUCUUCUCAGUCGGGUUAGCAAUCUUACCUAACCCAAUGGCUUGUUCAAUCCUUUCAACUAUAACAACCAGGUCAGUGAAAUGUUGUGCAGAGCUUCUAACCAAGUAUUCAAAGUACGGAGCUUUAAAGCUGUUGGAAAAUAAACUGAUCAUCUCUUUUUCCAACAUAGGAGGGUUAACUUGUAUAGCUACCUCCCUCCAUCUUUGAGCGUAUUCCCUUAUGGACUCCUUGUUGUCCUUCUCCAUAGCUUGUAAGUUUAACCGAUCAGGGCCCACGUCUAUAUUAAACUUAUAUUGCCUCCUGAAGGCAUCAACUAAAUCCUUCCAUUUUUUAACCUUGGUAUUGUCCAACCGCAUAUACCAAGUGAGGGCAACAUCACUUAAGCUGUCUUGAAAGAAAUGAAUCAGCAGUUUCUCAUCAUCAACCACCUCAGCCAUUUUGUUGCAGUAUGCUUUGAGAUGAGUUAUAGGGCAUUGAGUUCCCGUAUAUUUGAUAAAUUUUGGCACUCUAAACUUUUUGAGAAUGACAACGUUAGGCACCAAACACAUCUCAGCAGCCUUUAUAGGAUCAUGUAGGCGAAUUCCCUCAAAUGCCCUCAUCCUUUGCUCUAGGGCAAUGAAUUUGUUCAGAUCAUCUUCUUUUACCAUCUUGCCUUUUUUAGAUUCCUUCUCGUUUGCUCCCGGAUUCUGUGGAGUGAAGGGAUUUACGAGCAUAGGUUCAGGCUGAGCUAUAUGUAUUGCUUUUUCGAAUUUGUCUCUCAAGGCCUGUUCGAGUAGACUAGUAAGCCUUGCGACUUCUUCUUUAAUAUUGUCCACCUCUUUUUUGUGUUGGGCUUUCAACUGGGCUCUUUCUUCGUUUUCCAUUUGUCUUUUUCUCAAAUGAUUGUUAUAGGUAGGUUUCAAUAGGGAACCUAUAAUUCAACCUGGGAAUGUAAAUCAUGCAAUUUAUGCAAAAAUGUUGAUUCAAUAAAAAAUGCGUAUGAAAUGCGGACUCGCCCUUCACGGGGUGACAAACUAAUAGGAAGAUCCUAAUUGUUGAGUGCAUCAAGGGGUUGGUCAUUAUCUAGUUUCAAAGGGUUUCUCGCAUGCUCAGUGAUCGUCCUUGAAAGGUCGAUAUGAGGCUUACAAGUAGUGUGAAAAUAGAGGCCCUGACUAAUAUCAGUUUGGCAUAUUAACCACUUCCAAGUAAACAAUCAAGCGAGAGCUGGAUGGUUUCACGAGUCUUACCCAAGCUAAAGCCGUUGGGGUACCGUUACUUCCCCACAUAUCCUAGAUUUUCAGGUGUGUGCUCUUAACGUGAUGCAUGACAAUAUAAACAUGGAUGCAUGCUAAAGCAAUAAAUGCAGGAAAAAUAAACAAAUAAACACAACAAACAAACAUUAUAGCAAUUGACAAACAAAAGGCAAAGCUUAGUCCAUUAGUCCCAAUGGAGUCGCCAUUCUGUCGCACCCGACAUCGCGGCGGCCUUAAAAAUAAUAUGGUGGAAUAGAAUGGAUUUCUGGCAUCCUGUUAUUUAAUGGGGAACAGUUUUGUUUAAGGAGUGGCCACCUAGUAUUAUGGUCACUAGGAACCCUAACUGGUCAACAGAGAUUCUAUGGUACGGGACUGGUUAUGCAAAAGAAAAGAUAUUAUCACCCUUUAAACGUCCUGCCUGAGGCAGGCUGCAUUGUUGGUUUUGUCAUAAAUUGCUAACAUUUUGUCGGUUUAUGCUAUGAUGGUUUGCGUGUAAUAUUCAUGACUUUGACGCCAGUGAAUAUUUAACUACGAAUAUUUCCAACUCUGGCGUUGGUAAAUAUUACGCAGCUAUAAAAAAAAUAAAUCUAAAUCAGUAUUUUUUAUUCCUGACUCUGGCGUCAGUGAAUAAACAAAUCAAAUAAAUUUAUUUUUUACGCAUACACAUUUUUUAUGUAACUAAAUAAAAGUAAAAUACAAUAAAAUAAAAUAAAUUUACAUCAGUAUCUUUAUUCCUGACUCUGGCGUCAGUGAAUAAACCAAUAAAUUUACUUUAUUUUAUUUUAUUUUUGCAUGCAUAUUUUUUAUUUUUAUGUAAUUUAAAUAAAAUACAAUGAAAUAAAUUUGAAUCAAUAUUUUUAUUCUGACUCUGACAUCAAUGAAUAAAAACAAUAAAUUCAUAUUUAUUUUUUAUUUAUACAUACACACAUCUUUGUUUUUUUGUUUUGUUUUUUUGGACUGGGCUGGACCCAGCCAGCCCGGCCCGGGUCACUGGCCCAAGCCAGUGACCCGGCUGGGCAAAAUGUGGAGCACGCGUGAAGUGAUUUCACGCGUGCAUUCACUGUGCGAAGGUAAUUAAAUUACCUUCGCACUGUGUUCUUUGAUCAUUUAAUUUCAAAGAACGCAAAGGGAUGAAGAGCUGGCGUACUGCUUCUGGAGUGGCGAAGAUGGCUGCAACGCUGGUGGUGACUUUCGCCUGCUUGAUACCUUUACUUCUGCCUUCCCUUUUUGCUCCUGUGCCCACGGUCUGCUUUCGUUUUCCAGCAGAUUUUGAGAUAAUGAAGGAACCGAGAACGAAGGUGCCGGCUUCUGUGGAUACUGAUUUUUGGGUCGUUUUCUGCAGGGAUGAAAGCAAUGGCAGAACCAAUUAUCCUCUCCGUGUUGUUCCUCUGCUUUUCUUUUGUUUCAAUUCGUGCUCUGCCUUCCCCUGUUUUCUGGUUUUUUUCUCUGGGUUUUGCUCCAGUUCUCUCCUCUGGUUCUGUUUUUUCCCCCCCUGGUUCUGUUUUUUUCGUCUAGGUUUAGCUUGAGUUUUUCCUCGGUUUCUCCUUCAAACCCCCCCUGCUUUUCUUCCUCUGUUUUCUGGGUUUUUCUUCUCUGGUUUUUCGUUCCCCCCCCCCCCCCCUCUCGCUCUGGGUUUUUCUUCCCCUUUUAUAGAGACCCAGCAGCUUGCCUCUAACCAGUCCUGCCUUUGCAGGACUGUUAUCUUCCACGAACGAGAUCGUGGGCAAGAGACGUGGUCCACGAUUGGAUCUGUUGCAGAUUUUCAGGUCUCCGGUUGAAUCGGGAUGAAGAAGAUCACACGACUGUUCCACCAGCAAUGGCGACGUUUCGGCUAAAAGACACAUUUUCAUUUUGACCCCUGCUUCUUUGGAAAUUCGGCAAUUGGAUCUCUAAGCAAUUAAAAAUUUAUUUUAAUUUUGCCCUUUUGGAUUAAUUUCAAUUAAAUCCCUAAAUUAUAACACUGUUUACAAAACAGUCCUUAAUUCCCGGAUUGUUCAAUUUGGCCUUUAAUUAAAUCUUUAACUUUUAAUUCUUUCAAAAUUGAUCAAUUAACUCUCAAAUUUUAUAAUUACAUCCCCAAACUUCAAAUUUUGUGUUGUCUUAACCCCAUUGUCAACUAUAUUUAAUUUUUAUUAUUUUGUUCAAAAAUUAGGUUAAGACAAUCCUCUUCUAUCAUGUAUUCUUUUCUUUGAUUGUUGUUUAUGUAGUUAUGUAGAUUUUUGAAAACGGAGUUGCAUUUGGAUAUAUUUUCUGAUAUACUUUUCCGCAUCCAACAUCGUUUUCCAUUUCUUAAUUUGCAAAAGCCUUAACAGCAUAUAUUGCCCCUUAUAUUUAUAUAUUUAUAGAUAGAUUAUAAGUUCAAAAUAUCCUUUUUUCAACAAGAAUUUUAAAUUCUAAUUCAUUAAGAAUUUUAAUUAACUAGCUAUAUAAAAAUUUUAAACACAUUUUUUUUUAUCUUAACAAUACUUUCCUUAAACUAAUAUUCUUAAAGACUCAUUUAGAAAUAAAAGGCUCUUUCUUAAAUAGGAUCUUCUAGAGUUCAAACACUAAGAAUUUUUCGGAACUUCACAAACGAAGCCAAUUCGAGGAUGUCUUUUUUUUUUUUUUUUGAGAAAGAUAUGCAAGUCUUCAAUAUCUUGAUCUGAUAAUUUACGGAUAACUAGAAUAAGUUCUUCAAAGGCAAGUUUUACUUUUCAUGUGCCAUUAAAAAAAUACCAUACUACCUCAUCUAAGAUCCUCGACGUCCCUUUGCUGAGGUUAGUUAUAGAAAAAAUAGUUGUUAUUGUUGCAAUAACUAUUGCAACUUUUAAGGGGCUACUAAUGAUGUGUUGUGUUGUUGGAAAAUUUAUCUAAGAAUAUGGUUACAUGGACAUGUUUGAAAUCAAAUUAAAAGGUAGUCUACUUACUUUUUCGGUUAAAAUUUUUUGAAAGUUUAAUCUUUAAUAUAAGCAAUUUAAUAUAGAACAUUAACAUGAUUUUAAAAAAUAUAGACGAAUGAGAAAUUGAUCUAAAAGAAUUCUUGGUUAACAUAUUUUUGUGAAACCAAAAACUCUAUUCCACUUAGAAAAGAAACAUAACCUUUUUUUAUGUUUAUUAAAUGAAAAAUUGAGAAGUUAAAAUUAGAUUCAAAGGGUAUCAAAGCUUUUAAAGGGGAGAUAUCUUAAGCAAAUUGAGGUUUAGGAUUAAGAGAGUGCUUGACAGUGUGGUCGGUUGCUUUUCAAAUAAUUUUUUGUGCCGAAAUGCAUGCCAAUAAUUUUUUUUUAUUUUUUAAAAAUCAUUUUUAACAUCAGCACACCAAAACGAUCCAAAACAUACAAAAUAUAUUAAAUUUUAGCAAAAAAAAAAUUAAAUUUUUUUGGGAACACGAUUUGCAUCGCGUUCCCAAACAUAUUCUAAAUCUACACAUGUGUGCGUCUAGGCCUGGACAAGGGUUUAGGUUUAUUGUAAAAUAAUUUUUUAGUUAACAAAAUAUUAUUUUUUUCCGACUAAAAUUUGGACUUGAUCUUGGUCCAUAAAGAAUAUUUUUUUCAGCCUAGCCCAUUGCUUUGUCCAUUUAAUGAAAGGAAAGAUCUCAUAAGUUUUUCCAGAACUCUUCCAAGGUUUCAUGAACAAAUUUUUCUAGCUCAAAAGUCACAUGAUUUAAAUAAAAAUAUUUAUAUUUAAUUCUAGUUUAUUGUGGGUAAUUAAAGUUAUUAGUAGAGGAUGUCCAUUAACUUUUGGUUUCUAAAAUUAUCUAUAAAAAAGAAGCUGAAGAAGAAUGUUUGGGGUUAGUUAAUUUUGUAUUGUUUUGACAGAAUUUGACACUUUUUUUCACCUUAUUUUCCAGCAUUGUGUUCGGGUUUUAAACUUUUGUUUUUCCUCCCAAAAUUUCUUCAAAUCUAGAGCUUAGGUUCUAUCAAACCUGAUAUCGCGGUGGCUUCAAAAUAAAUUCAGGAUUUCUGACAUCUUAUUCUUUUGGGGGGAAUGUCUUGUUUAAGGAGUCGUCACCUAGUAUUAAGGUCACUAGAAACCCUAACUGGUCAACAGAGAUCUAUGGUACGAGACUGGUUGUGACUUGAGAAUGUAUUAGCACCCCUAGCGUACCCUACCUAAGGUAAGCUGCAUUGCCGGUUUUGUCUUAAAUUGCUAAAAAUUUAUUGAUUUAUGCUAUGAUGGUUUACUUGUAAUAUUCCUGACUCUAGCGCUAGUGAAUAUUCAACUACAGAUACUUCCAACUCUGGCGUUGGUAAAUAUUCCGUAGCUAUAAAUUUAACUCACUAUUUUUAUUCCUAACUCUAACAUCAGUAAAUAAAAAAAUAAAAUAAAUUUAUUUUAUUACGCAUUCACAUAUUUUUUAUUUUUUAUGUAGCUAAAAAAACAAAAUACAAUUAAAUCAGUAUUUUUAUUCCUGACUCUGGCGUCAAUGAAUAAACCAAUAAAAUAAAUUUUUUUUACUCAUGCACAUAUUUUUUAUUUUUUCUAGCUAAAACAAAAUACAAUGAAUGAAAAUAAUAUAAAUUUAAAUUAGUAUUUUUAUUCUUGACUCUGGCAUUAUUGAAUAAAUCAAUAAAUUUAUAUUAUUUUUAUUCAUGCUUACACAUAUUUUUUAUUUUUUUAUUUUUUAUUUUUGGGCUUAGCCCAACUUAGCUCAUAAGGGCUGGGCUAGACCCUGCCAACUCGGCCCAGUCAAUGGCUCAAGCGAGUGACCUGGCUGGGCCACAUGAAUCACGCGUGCAUGAGCAGGUAAAUUCAAAGUAAACGGCAAACAGCGAAUUAAAACGAAAAGCGGGGAAAAAGAGCAAAAGACUUACCUGGUUCUUUUUGCAGAAAAUUUGCGCGAGAUUGCUGAGGGCGACGCUCCUGCUUUCAAGUUUCCUCUUGCUCCUUCUACUUGUAUUUCACGUUCUAUUUCCUUCCUGUUUCUCUAUUUCUGCUUGUCUUUUUUUUUUUUUUUCGUUGCUCUGUUUUCCAGACCCUUUCUUGUUUGCAUUCUGUCACCCUGGAUAAACUUUAAUUGGACCUUGCAUUUCAGCGCAUUUUAUGAAACAGUCCCUGGUUUCCGAAUGUUUCAUUUCAGUUCUUAAUGACUCUUCAAACUUCUAAUUCUUUCAAAAUUAUCCCUGAAAAAAUCAAUUAAACUCCCUACAGUAUCACUGCCUUUUCAAUUUGGUCAUUGUAUUUUAUUUUCUUUUAAUUUUGACUCAAAUCAGCCUCAAACUUUGGUAUUGUUUCAAUUAAACCCCUAAUUUCAUUAAUUAAAACAAAUCCAAGUCCCAUUAAGUCUCAAAACUUGUCAAUCCUUCAAUUAAGCUCUUGAUUUGAUUAAUAAAACUAAUCUAAAGUUUAAUUAAAUCCCAAAACUUCCAAUCAUGACGCCUUUAAUCCGAAUUUUAAUUUAUUCUUUAUUUAUUUAUUUUUAUUUGUUUUUCAUCAUUAUUCUUUCAUCAUUUUUUUUUCAUCAUUUUUCAGUAAAUAAAAUAAUAAUAAUAAUUAAAAUAAAAGGGUCAAAAUUUAAAUUAUGACAGGUUCAGUCAUUGUACAGGUAUUAUUAAGUAAUAUUUUAUUGGUUCAUUGGAUAUUGUUUAGGAGUCCAUUAAAAUAAGGUGUUGAUGUUGUAAUCUUGAUAAAUUUAUUGAAAAAAGUCCUAUUGCAUUAAGUGAGGAGUAAUAAAACCUUAAAGAAAAAAAAUUGAUCAUCAACAGUAAUAAAACUUGAUCAAUUUUAAAGUAUUUUAAAAAAUAAGUAAUUAUUUUUUGUUUUGUUUUAAUUUAUUCAAAAAUAUGUUGUAUGACUAGUAUGCUUGCUAAGACCUUAUUUUUAUAUCAAUAUCAAGUUUGAUAUAGGUUUAGAAUGCAUGUUAGAAUCUUUUAUAUAUAAGCUUUUUGUUAUGAUAGAAAAUUUACCAUGAUCUAAUGAAUUUCAUGAUUGUAAACUAAGCAUAUAUGCUUUUGUCUUAAUUAUUAUUUUCUAAUAUUUUUGGACAAUCUUAACAGUUGCUACUAUUGCUGUGCAUGUUUUGAAGUUGCUGUCGCUGGAGUUUUUUCUGCUGUUGGUAUGACUGAUCUUCUGCUACUGCAUGUAACUUGUUGAUGCUAUGUAUUUCCUGUUGUGUUUGUAGAAGGCUGACUCAUCAAUUGAGGCUACUAAUGUGUCUGUGAUACUAUGAAAAAUUGAAUAGAAAAGGACAACAUUAUCCUUUAAUGAGUAAUUAUAGGUGACUAUGGUUGACAUAUAUAUAUAUAUAUAUAUAUAUAUAUAUAUGGAUUUUUAAAAAAAUAGUAAUAAUAAUUAAAAUAAAAUAAUUAAUUAGGUUUUCUAUUAUAUCCUUUUUUAUUUAUUAAGGGUAUUAUAAGUAACAAUGUGUAUAUUAGUAAUUACAUAAUAAUUUGGAGUAUAAAAAGAAAACAAAACCUUAAGGAGUGAAUGUCAUACUAAUAGUUUUAGAUUGAUAGAAAAUAAUUGGAAGUGUUUUUAUAUGUUUUUGAUAGAUGAAUUUGAAGAAAUAAUGAAAUUAAGGAAUUGAAAAAAAAAAUAAUGAGUUAGUAACUUUAUACCACUAAAAUCUAGUUUUUCAAUGAGUGUUAUAAUCAAGAUUUGAUAUCUAAUUAUAAUAUACCAUAAAUUUUUCAAUUUAAUUAAUAAUUAUAAUAAUUAAAAAUACACAAUUUUAAUUUAUAAUAUUUGAAUUUAUAAAAACAUAAAAUGUUUGAAGCGAAUAAUGCAAUCCACCAUAUUUAAAAAGUAUAUAGCUAAAAUUUAUUUAUUUUUAUUUAGAAAGUGUUUGAAAGUAUGGUUAUAAUUGUUUUAUAAAAAUUAUUUUUUUAUUUUUUAAAAUUAUUUUUUAUAUCAGUACAUCAAAAUAAUUUUAAAAAAUUAAUAAAAUAUUAAUUUAAAAAAAUAAUAAAAAUAAUUUUUUAAAAAAAUAUUUUUAAAACAUAAAAAUAAAUUGAAAUUUAAUAUAUUACGUGGGUGCAUAAAAAAAAAUGUCACAUGCUUCGAUAAUUUGCAUGUAAUGUAUGUACGAUUUGUCAUUAAAGCUGAUGAAUAUGUUACAUCAACCAACCAGGGAUGUCCUAAGUCGAUCACAUCUUGGUCAAGACCCUUUAAAUAGUCAAUGAUCAAAAAGGUCUCCUCACCCAUUCAUGGAUGCCAUGUCAUACCCAACCAGCAAACUUUUUCUUAUGUGGCGGAUUGUAAAAGCCACGAGACACAAUAUGACACGUCAGCACCCAACCAUUUCGAAUUUACAAAUCAAGUCUUAAUGAUUGGAUUUAGAUGUAUCAUAAAAUUUAAUAUUUGAACAGUUAUUUAUCAAUUUUUUAUUUUUUAUUUAUUUUUGAAAAAUUAUUUAGAGAAAAAAAUAAAAAAUAAAAUACAUUCACAAUUGUAAUUAAAAUUAAUUAAGAUGUAUGUAAACUGAUCCGGAUACUAACAUUAAAAAAAAAAAAUCAUGUACAACUUCUAGUACCAGUCCAAAAAACCGAAGCAAAUAAAAAUUUUAAAAGAAGGGAGCACUAAUCCCGUGGUGCUAUAUUUGAGUUCAUGUAAAGGGUAGACCGUAAUCUUUGUAACUGGUCAACACGGGGGUGCUAAAAGAAGGGUCUAGAAAUUAUUGACAAGUGCACCUAUUGAUUAGAAAUUGAUAUUAGCAACAUGCAACUAGAUAUAGUUUUUUUUUGCUAAUCUAGAAAUAUCCUACAUUGUCAUCCGUCUUCAAAAUAUCCUACAUCUGGGAAGAGCAUAAUUCAAAAUAUUAAACUAGUAUUUUUUUAGAUAUUUUCCAUUCAUGUUAAUUUGUUGAUGCAAAGCAGACAAACCUUCUUUUCUAUCCGUGAUAAUAUCAAGCGGAGCUUUGACAAUGGCACCCGUUUUCAAAAUAUCUAGAAAGAGCAUAAUUUAUAUGGCUGGCUAAGAGGCUGAACACAUUCUUGCUAAUCUAGAAGGUUGAUCUUUCAUCUUUCUUCAUUGCAAAGAAAGCGAAACCGUGUCUGCAAAAUUAUAUAAUAUGGAUAACCCAUGAAUUGAACUUCUAUAAAUCAAAAGUUUAUUAGCACCAACCAAACCAUCAAAUCUUCCAAAGAGUUCUCACUGAAUCUGAUAACCAAUCUUGUUCUGCCGCUUUUUGUGUUUUCCUCCUUUUACCUUCCAUUCAAUUCCCCAUUUAGUAAAGAUGACAGGCACUCCUCAAGAGACAGAAACCCAACAAGUACCUCCACCACCACCAUCUCCAAAGGCUGAUCAAGAGGCAGAAUUCCAUGAACCAACCUCAUCUGCCACUGUCACGGAGGAAUCCCACCCUAAUGAUCACCCACCAGCAUCGGAUGAGAAAACCAAGAAAUGGGGCACCCACAUCAUGGGACCUCCAGCAGCACCUAACGUCCACCCUGACAACCAACAGGCUGCCUUAUGGAAUGCCAGUGAGCACCAGCAAAUCCCCGAGCACCCAUACCUGGUGUAUACUCCCAUUGACAAAUCAGAAAUGACAACCCAGAAAUCUUUUGAACCUGUGAUCCAUAAGUUUCAGGAAUGGGGCAAGAUGGCAGAGACCGUAGCCCGUAACAUCUGGCACAAUCGUAAGUUGAUGUUCACAAACCAUGAAAUAUUAAAUUUAGCUAAUUGAUCAUCACUGUGACUGUGACCAUGAUAGAGUAGCGUUUUUCUGGCAUCAAAACGGACAACAAAUUUAGUUCAAGUGUAUCUUCCAAUCAUAUUUCUGAUCUGUUUUAACACGCACCUGCACAUACACUUUAAUGCAGUUAGCACAGGGCCAUCUGUGCCACAAGCUGCCUGGGGUAAGGUAAACCUGACGGUGAAAGCAAUCACAGAGGGUGGCUUUGAGUCUCUCUUCAAGCAUAUAUUUGAAACCGAUCCUAAUGAGAAGCUGAAGAAAAGUUUUGCUUGUUACCUUUCAACAUCUACUGGCCCUGUUGCCGGGACGCUCUAUUUAUCAACUGCUCGAGUCGCGUUCUGCAGUGACCGUCCUCUGUGCCAUACUGCUCCUUCAGGGGAGGAGGCGUGGAGCUACUACAAGGUAAAUACAUCGCUAGACACCAAGUCGGAUAGAUUUUACUACAUUCAUAGCUAUUAUUAUAUAUAGUUAAGCUCUGUUAAAUUCCAAACAAAAGGUGAAGUUGAGAGAAAUCGUGCAUAUAUAAAAGGGUAGUUCACGGAGAUACAGCGAAACAAAAAUAAAUAUCUUUAGCAAUAAAACUCAAACUAAGUUUUCUAUCUUGCUAUAGCCAUCCGUGUAUAUCAUGGUACUGAUGAAUUCAAUAAUAAUUUAUUUUGAGCAGGUUAUGAUACCCUUGGACAAAAUAAACACAGUCAGCUCGGAGACCAUGCUGGAAACUCCAUCAAGGAAUUUCAUUCAAAUUGUCAGCACCGAUGGGCACGACUUCUGGUUUAUGGGUUUCGUUAAUUUCGAGAAAGCCUUGCAAAAUCUAUCAGAGAGCGUGUCAAGUUUCAAGGAAGCAGGAAUUGCAAUUCAACCAGUUGUUGCUUAGCCAUUGAUUGCAUUUGGAGUUGAAUCCUUCAUGCCCUUCAAAAUUUUGAUUUUCACUGUUUCUAGUGGAUUUAUUGUUUGUUGCCUGAAGGGAGCUUUCCUUUAGUUUUCCUCUUGUCAUUCAUUUAUCCUCUUCUAUCAUGUAUUCUUUUCUUUAAUUGUUGUUUAUAUAGUUAUGUAGAUUUUUGAAAACGGAGUUGCAGUUGGAUAUAUUUUCUGAUAUACUUUCUCCACCCACCCACCGCAUUCUUAAUUUGCAAAAGCCUCAACAGCAUCGUGAACGGAGUAUAGCGGGCAAAUACUUAAAAGACUCCUCAAAAUUCGAGUUUCUAUGAAUGAAAUGCUGUCACCAUUAAAGAAAAGAAAAAAAAAGAGAGACCCGGAUGGCUUGUCAUUUUAGGGCUUCAAUUCUAUAAUGGGCUCAUUUCUGUUUUUUUUGUGAACGUUAAUAUUUGCGAGAAUUGGAAUUCCAAAGAACGCCGUGAUUUGAUCUUAACAUUAAUUCGUAGUAUUGUCUUUCCAUUUCAUCCAAAUAAUUUCAAAUGGUCAACGAAAACAACAUGACGUGAUCAAAGAAAAUCUAAGGAGGUUUAUCCAAUGUGCAAGUUGAGAUAAUCCCUCUGCAGUGGGCAGUGUCGUUGAAAGGAAAACUUUUGCGCAGCCAAAACCGUCGUAAUUUGAUUGCUAGAGCACAGGAGGUCUGUCUAAAAUGAAGUUUUUUCAGCAAAUGCUAAGAGCAGAGAAUCCAUCCCCACCGCCGAAAGUGAAUUAAUAGCGGAGUUGCAGGCUGCCACCACAAAUCAUUGGAAAGUGAAUCACAAAUAAAAGUUAAAAAGAUCCAUGUCGGUGGCUACUUAACAAAUCAACCGAUCGGGCACUAUAUCGGCAAAGGAUAUGACAAAUCAAUUGUAGAGAAAACAGACAAUUGCUUCCUCAAGCCCUAAUUAGUAUUAAUACUAAUUAAUCAGCUUGAGUUUUAGCAAAACACAAAUCAACCUAUUGCUUAGAAGCUAGGGUUGCUACAAGAACUCCUACCGGAGGUGAAAUGGUAACUUUCGAAGACAGAGAUAAUUAAGAGUACGCAAAUGCAUAGUUGAAUUCGAAUAGGAUCAGUUUAUGAGGUCCCUUUGACAUGAUCCCAUUAAAUUAAAGGUUGCUGAUAGCAUAUUCGGAUAUUUAAACCGAUCGUGGGAUAUUAUUUUUUAAUUUAUGACAUAAUUAUUUUUAUUAUAACAUUUAUUUAAUUUUUAAAAUUUACAAGGAUUUGUUUAGUAUAAGAAUCAUAACUAUCAAAUAAAAUUUUAUCCGUAUUCUUUUAUGUCUUGUUUCUUUUAUUUUUAUUAUAUUUUUUUUUUAUCCUGAGACAAAAGUAUCCUUUAAGUUAGACACCAUUAAUUAAUUACAUUGCUCUUUAUAAAAUAAAAAGAUUGUGGGAUUGAAAUCAUUAUUCAGAACAUUAAAAAGUUCAUGUAAGAAGUAGAAACUCUGAUGAAUCCAUAAAAUUAUUCCUUAUCAAAGACUACGCUCAAAGUUAAUUUAUAAACUGAUGGAUUUGAGUAUAAAAAGAAGAAUUCAAUACAAAAGUAUCUAAUUUUAAAAUUUAUAAAUUGACUCAUUAUCUUGAAGAUAACAUGGUCGAGGAGAGAGUUGAAAUAUAGUUUCAAUCUUUUAAGAAUAAGUUCAAUUUCUAAUAUUUAACUAAGGAUGAGUAUUUUUUGCAAGUAGUAGGGAAUGACAAGAGACACUAUUUUUCUUUUUAAUUAUAUGACAUAAAUAUUUUUAUUAUAAUAUUUAUUUAAUUGUUAAGAUUUACAAAGUUUUUGCUUAAUAUAUGAAUUCUAAUGCUAGUUGAAUUCAUGUAACUAUCAAUUUUCCUAAAUUAAGACUAAAAAUAGGGAUGUUUAACUUAUUCUUUUAUUGAAAAUUAUUAAAUUCCAAACUUAUUAGAGUUUUAUCUAUAUUUCUCAAAAAUCUCAGCUAUAACCUUAGAAUUUUAAAAUCCUAAUUUUUAUUCACUCUAGAUAUUACAUCAUAAACAAAAACAGCCAGGCUGUUAAAUUUAUUAAUGGUGUCUAGCUAGAAACCUUCUCGAUUCUUCUCCUGAUAAUUUCAAUCGGCCAAAAAGUUAUUUGGCAUUGCCACCUGUUCACCUGGAUAGUCCUCCUCGGAAGAGUCAUAUGUCUAACAGGGACACUUUCAAUCUAGGAAGGUUGAUUCAUCUACUUUCUUCAAUUCACCAAAAAAAAAAAAAAACUGCUUUCUUCAAUACAAAGAAAUACUUGCGUGUAUAAAAACAAUCAAAACUCACGAAAGACUUUGGAGAGGAAAAUUCAAUAUUGCACGGCUAGUUUUUGCUCUUGCCACAUCUACCUUCCAUUCAGUUCUAGUCGGUCAAAAUGACAGCUCACCUCAACAGGCACAGCAACAUGAUGUACCAGUCCCAGCAUUAUCAGCUCCCAAAGCUACAGGAGCAGAGUUUCAUGAGCCACCCUCAUCGUCCACUGUCACAGAGGGUCCGCCGCUUCAACCACCACCAAUAUCGGAUGAGGAAACCAAGAAAUGGGGCAGCCACGUCAUGGGACCACCGCCAGCGCCUAAUGUCCACCCUGACAACCAAUGCUAAUCAUGUGCGGAACACGUAAUAUGAUGACUACUUAAAUAAAUAAAAAAUACUAAUGAAUAUUCGAGAUUCAACGAUUUAGACAUGGAUAUCGAUGUUUCUUUUUAAUAGAUAAUCUAUAGUUUACAAUUAUUUAUUUUGGAUAUGGAUAAGAUGAGUUAGAUAUAAAUAUCUUUUUUUUAAUAGAUAAUGAAUAGCAAAUGAUUAUUUAUUUUGGAUAUAUAUAUAUAUAUAUAUAUAUAAUAUUAAAAAAAUCUAAAUAUUCUACAAAUACAUCAAUAUAAUAUAAAUAUAUAUUUUGAGUUAGAUUAAAGCGAGUUUGGAUCAGAUUUUACAAUAUUUAUAUUAUAUUUAUUAUCCAUAAAGUAAGGUAACUAUAUAAAAAAAAAUUCAUCCAUUUAUGUUAGGUAAAUAUUUAUCGAGUUCAGAUUAAACUAUAAUCACUAUUCACCCACCUAAUUAUUGCUUCAAUUUCCUUUUGUUAGGCAAACCUUCUAAAAAUCCCCAAACUUUGAAACGAGUUUAGAUUAGAUUCACAAUAAUUAAAUCCGAAAUGUAAGAAUGAAGUCUCAAUCAAAUCCUUCAUUAAUGAUAUUAAGUAACACUCGAGGAUGGUGUGAUUUUUUUUUUAAUUUUUUUAUUUACAAAAACAAGCAAAUUUUCUAAGAUUUUUACUUUUGAAUCACGUGAAUCUCACAUGUAGACCAAACUUUAUAUAUAUAAUACAAAACUCUUGUAUUUAUUGGUAUAAUUUAUUCUCGUUAUCCCAUGAUUACUUAAUCAUUACAUUAACCUAGAUUAACAUAAUGAUUUGAUUGAGAAUUCAUUAAUACAUAGAGGAUUUAAUCUAGAUGAAAAAUAUAUUUAGACCUAACCAAGAUUAGCCCUAUAGACUGAGGGCUUUUUUGAGGUUUCCUCCAUAAUGUUGCAAAACAUGAUUUAAUUUUAUCAAUCUUAGAAAAUUAAAACAACAGGAACCAGCAUUGACACAACCAAACAAAUGCAACCCCUUUCCAGUUUGGCAUGGGGAAUUAUAGUUUGAUCCCAAUAAUUUUAAGUUUUACCUUUUUGGUUUUUUUUUUUUUUGGUUUCACAUUUCUUUACUAAAAUUCAUUUCUUUUACCUUCCAAUUCAUAAACUUUGAAAUCAGAAAAAUAGUAAUAAAAAAAUAAAAUAAAAAAGAGAAAAUUAUUGAUUAACUACAUUUCUACCAUUAAAAAUAUCGAUUUUGGUGUUAUUAAAUUUCUUUUCAUGAAAAAAAAUAUCAUUAAAGUAUUUUAAUAGAUUUUUAAAUAAAAAAUACUUGAAAAAAAUAUACAUAUUUCAAUAUUAAUCAAUACCUUAGGUUCCUGUUCAUUUUAAAAAAGAGAGAGAUGUUGCUUUCGCCUGAUGACAUGUUUGGGUAUUUCAAAGCAAAGCAGCCAAACCUUCCUUUCUUACCGUGAUCAUGAAUCGGUCGACAAGCGAUAAAUUAAUAUUUUUUUAGAUAUUUUGUUACUUCGUUGAUGCAAAGCAGACAAACCUUCUUUUCUAUCCGUGAUAAUAUCAAGCGGAGCUUUGACAAUGGCACCCGUUUUCAAAAUAUCUAGAAAGAGCAUAAUUUAUAUGGCUGGCUAUGAGGCUGAACACAUUCUUGCUAAUCUAGAAGGUUGAUCUUUCAUCUUUCUUCAUUGCAAAGAAAGCGAAACCGUGUCUGCAAAAUUAUAUAAUAUGGAUAACCCAUGAAUUGAACUUCUAUAAAUCAAAAGUUUAUUAGCACCAACCAAACCAUCAAAUCUUCCAAAGAGUUCUCACUGAAUCUGAUAACCAAUCUUGAACUGCCGCUUUUUCUGUUUUCCCACAUUUACCUUCCUUUCAGUAAAGAUGACAGGCACUCCUCAAGAGGCAGAAACCCAACAAGUACCUCCACCACCACCUAAGGCUGAUCAAGAGGCAGAAUUCCAUGAACCAACCUCAUCUGCCACUGUCACGGAGGAAUCCCACCCUAAUGAUCACUCACCAGCAUCGGAUGAGAAUCCCAAGAAAUGGGGCACCCACAUCAUGGGACCAGCAGCAGCUCCUAACGUCCACCCUGACAACCAACAGGCUGCCUUAUGGAAUGCCAGUGAGCACCAGCAAAUCCCCGAGCACCCAUACCUGGUUUAUACUCCCAUUGACAAAUCAGAAAUGACAACCCAGAAAUCUUUUGAACCUGUGAUCCAUAAGUUUCAGGAAUGGGGCAAGAAGGCAGAGACCGUAGCCCGUAACAUGUGGCACAAUCGUAAGUUGAUGUUCACAAACCAUGAAAUAUUAAAUUUAGCUAAUUGAUCAUCACUGUGACUUUGACCAUGAUAGAGUAGCGAUUUUCUGGCAUCAAAGCGGACAACGAAUUUAGUUCAAGUGUAUCUUCCAAUCUUAUUUCUGAUCUGUUUUAACACGCAUCUGC
rnacentral:lncRNA from 1 species